UUGGGAUCAGUUGGAGUUUGCUGGCCAUGCUGUGAGGAGGAAGGGACAGGAAGCAGUGAGCUAGAAAUGCAGAAAGAAGGAGCGAAAGAGCCAGAGCCGUGUGGAGCGACUCAUGGAGCUGCAACUUAGCAAAGGCCGUCAUGCUUGCUUUUCUCCCAAGGGAUCAAGACCAACAUAGACUAUGAAGAGAUGUACAGAUGAAUGGACUUACUCUUACAUGACUUUGUCAAUAGCCAUCAUAUGUUUUCAUUAUAUUGUUUUCCUGGGUUUUGAUUUUUACAAAUUUGUUCAUUAUUUGCAACUAUUUUACAAAUAGUUGUGUACAUGUUCCUGACAGGGGUUUUUGUUGAGUUAGGUCACAUUUUACUCUAAUGCAUGCUUUUCUAUUCUAAUUAUUCCACACCUUAAACUAAGAUACAUCAAUAGAACAUUCCGUAGGGCUUUUGAAUUCGCAAAAUUUUAUUUGUUAUAAAAAUUUCUAUGAAGAUAAGCUA